rnacentral:lncRNA from 1 species
ACUUGCAUAGGCCCUGCAACCCCUUUGUUUUGGCAAUUUCUUCAAUUUGGAGUGGCUGUAUUUACCCAAUACUUGUACCUCCAUUGUAUAUAGAAAGUAACUAGCUUGCUUUUGAUUUUACAGGCCCAUAGGCAGAAAGGAUUUGUAUUGUCUCAGGUGAAACUUUGGACUUUGUAUUUUUGGGUUAAUGCUGAAAUGAGUUAAGGCUUUGGGAGACCAUUGGGAAGGCAUGAUUGGUUUUGAAAUGUGAGGAUGAGAGAUUUGGAGGAGCCAGAGGUGGAAUUAUAUGGUUUGGCUGUGUCCCCAUCCAAAUCUCUACUUGCAUUGUAUCUCGCAGAAUUCCCACGUGUUGUGGGAGGGACCCGGGGGAGGUAUUUGAAUCAUGUGGGCUGGUCUUUCCUGUGCCUCAAGUACUCCUAUGGAAACUCAAAAUCGACUAAUACACUAUCUCCUCUUUUAUUACUUCGGUAAAUCAACAUCAUGUUUGGGCAGAAUGAUUGUAAAAAUCUUUUCAUCAGUGUCCUUGCUUCCAUUUUUCCCUGUUCACAGUCUAUUCUUACUACUGAAUCUAGAGUGAUUCUGUUAAAACAUGUUAGAGCAUACCCUUCAUCUGCUCAAAAUAUUCUAUGAUUUUAAUUUGACUUAUAAAAAAGUCAUAGUAUUGAAAAUAACCUGAAAGAUCCUAAAAAGUAUUCCCUCUCUCAUUCCAUUACUCGUCGGUUCUUAUUUCCGUUUCCUCUUCAUUCUUAUCCCAAGCAACUCAUUGAUUUUCUUCAUGCAUACUGGGAUACUCCUACUUUUGAGGUUUUUGCAUUGCUGCUCUCUCAGCUUGAAAUAAUCUCUCCCCAGAACACCACACACUUCACUCUUUCUCCUCCUUUGGGUCUUUGUCAAAAUAUUAUCUUCUCAGUAAAGCCCUUAAUACCCACCUAUUAAAAACUGAAUCCCUACACUUCUGCAAACUUUUCAGUUUUAUUUUUUCUGUAAUUUUAUUGUAAUCUGAUAACAUAGAUAUUUUUACUUUAUCUUUAUUCAUCUCGUCUCCAGUAAAAGAAUACCAUGAAAUAGAAGUUUAUUUUCCUUUUUUAUUUACAAUUAUAUCCGUGCUAAAAGCAUUUCUGACAUAUAGGUAGCACAACAUAAACACCUGUUAAAUUAAUGAAUUAAUGCACCUUCCUUAAAAAAUAAAAAAAAUAGUUUGAAAGGACAAUUCAUCCCUUCAACAAACAUUUAUUGAACAUCUUCUAAAUUUUUAGGAAUUCAGAAUCUCUGCUUUUAAAUGGAAAUCUCGGUUUAUGCUACAUUCCUAUACUCUACCAUAUUCUAUUCAAUAAAAAUACAUUAGCACUUUGUGGAAUUUUUAACAAUUUCAACAAAGAAUAGAGUAAUACUGAGGCUUAAUAAGUAUGCUCUCAGACUUAAGCAAAGAUAACUUCUGUAAAGGGUUUUGGUUUUUGUCAAAAAGGGGCUAAAAUUCACUUAUGUAAAUAUAAAUGGUUGAAGAAAAUAAACUAAUAUUCUAAAGAUAAAAUUAUCUUGAUGAGUAGUAGGCAAACAGAAUUUGAUGAGGGGACAUUUCUCCAUCUGUGUUUUGGGUGGAGUUAGCUUUGGCUUAGGGUAAAAGCAACAAAAUUGUAGAGAACUCAAAUACUUCCUCAGCAGAUGUGGAGGACCCUGUCAUUAAAGGAAAAACAGUGAUACUAAUUGUCCUUGCUGCUCCUAACCCUUGAAAUACUUUGGUGACACAUUUUUCUAAGGGCAAAGUAUAAAAUUCUUAAUUGGACUUAGAGAAGAAUGCAUGAUCCAGCCACUGCUCACUGUUCUGAAUUCAUCUCUUCAUCCUUCUUGUAAUCAGUGCACUCUUAGUGAAAACGGUAACCCCAAAUCUCCAUGAUCUUCUUUAUGCUUUAUCCCUGUCCUUGAAUAUGCUGUGGGAUCUACCUGGAAUGUUCCCCCACUUCUUAAUCCUCUCUAACCCGAAUACACACCUUAGUAAUGUAAACGGGGGUUGCUUCUUUACAUUUUCUCUUUCAUUAGCAUCCUGAAAGCAGAAACUGGAUUUUGUUCACUUGACAUAUCCAGUAUCAAGUACUGAGUGUAGCAAAAACUGCUGCUCCGUAAAUGUGUAUUAAGUUAAAUGAAUGCACCUUUCCCUUCUGCUUUCUCCUCUUUGUUACCAUGAGAGUUUUUAUAUAUACAUAUAUAGGUAUAUGUAAAAAACACUAACAUAUACAUGUUUAUGUGUAUAUAUGUAUAUAAAUAUUUAUAUAUGUAUAUACAUAUUUAUAUAUGUAUACACAUGUUUAUGUAUAUAUGUUUAUAUACACACACACAUAUACAUAUGCACACAUAUACAUGAAAUCUAAACUUAGUACUAGACACUAGGUAUGCUAAGCGAACAAGCUCUGAGGGCUUCUGGGCUCUUCCUCUUUCCAGCCAGAGAGUGAUAGCAGUUUUCUAAUAUUGGUAAUCUCUGGUAAACCACCCAUGUUUGCUUUCUCACCUAGAUAACUGACACUUAAAAAAACUCAGCGUGAUUUCUGUUUUUAUGAGUGGACCCUGUCAAUAGUUGCUUUUACAUAGUUUACUCAUAUUCCACAAUACAGGGCAUUGCUUAUAGUUUUCAGUGAAUAAAUAUUUAAUGCUGAUUAUGUAAUAAAUCAUGACAUGAGAUAGAUAUAUAAGAUAAAAGACGAAGUAGUUCUGCUCUGGAGUCCUUUCUGUUUUUCGUGUUGAUUGUAUUUUCCGCCUGUGUUCACCUGGUUAACACCUACUGAUUUAUUCUAAUAUCAAUUCAAGCACUUCCUCCUCAGAC